AUGGCAGGAUCACACAAUGAUAUCAACGUGCUUCAGCGCUCGCCGGUGUUUGCUAAGCUUGCCAAAGGCAACAGCCCACCGGUGAAUGUUACCAUCAACGGCCACAACUACGACAAAGGAUACUACCUAGGUGACGGUAUCUAUCCUCAGUGGACCACUAUUGUGAAGACAAUCCCCAACCCUAUCGAAGAGAAGAGGAAAAGAUUUGCCCAAGAGCAAGAAAGUGCUAGGAAGGAUGUCAAGCGUGCCUUUGGUGUUUUGCAAUCUCGAUGGGGCAUCGUUCAGUAUCCUGCUAGGACUUGGAGCGCGAAGAAGCUGUGGAAGGUGAUGACUGCUUGUGUGAUCAUGCACAAUAUGAUCGUAGAAGAUGAGCGCCCGAAAUGUUUCUACGAUCAAGGGUUUCAGUUUCAGGGUGAGAAUGUUGUGCCUGAGCAUGGAGGAGCGGCAACGUUUGAAUAG
rnacentral:rRNA from 1 species